rnacentral:lncRNA from 1 species
CAAGACGAAAUUCUACUUUUUUGAUAUUAAGGAGUACUUUUUUUUUACCGAUGUAUAUUUCUUCAUUUAUAAUUAAGUAACUCUAAUUACAAGUAUUGUUCAUCUGAAGAGGAUUGAAAAAAAAAUUGAAAAGAUUAGCAAAUUAUUGAGUAUGUUCUAUGAUGCUAGUCUAAUAUUUUUAGGAGUUAAAUAUCCUACAUCGAACUCAUAUUUUCUUCAAAUUUUCUUAAUCGAGCUUACUUUGAGGCAAG